GGUCUCGGUCUCAACACAAUUCCAUUUUGACUGAGCGGUACGUUCUCAGCAAAGCAAAAUAUUACGUCGUAGUGUUCGAGCGGUCUCUGUCUCAACUCAACACAAUAAUUCCAUUUUGACUGAGCGGUACGUUCUCAGAAAAGAAAAAUAUUACGACGAAGUGUUCGAGAAAUCCCGUUCUGAACACAAUUUUUUUUUUUGCUGAGCGAUACGUUCUCAGUAAGCAAAAAUAAUAAAACGAAGUGUUCGAGCGGUCGCGGUCUCAACACAAUUCCAUUUUGGCUGAGCGAUAAAACCAUGAACACAAGCAAGAAAAAGAAGGCGUACAGCAAAAAGGAUUUGACUAAACGAUCGGCUAUUGAGAGUACAGUAGAACAACCUCCGGUGACGAAACAACAGAAAAAGUACAGGAUGAAAGACCUAACUCAAGAAUUAGCGAUCGAAAAGGCACGGAACACUCGCCUCAUGGAAGAGCUUCAACAGAGCCAGCGUCUGAACGAGGAGCUCUUGGCUGUUCAUACUGAUAGGCACCCUGCAAACGAAGGACCAUCAGCCGAUUUUGAAAUACCAGACGAAGAAGCAACAGCCCAGAUUGAAAGACCAAUUCUUUGGGACACCACACGCAGAACAGUACCUCCACCCAUCUGUAGUGAUUAAGACCACUAGCGUUAAAUUAAUGUAAAACUAGUUACUCACCUGUUUCCAAAUAUAUUUAGCGUUCACACUUC